rnacentral:rRNA from 1 species
UUGAACGCUGGCGGAAAUGCUUUACACAUGCAAGUCGAAACGGCCAGCACGGGGGCAACCCUGGUUGGCGAGUGGCGAACGGGUGGAGUAAUACAUCGGAACGUGCCCAGUCGUGGGGGAUAAACGUAGCGAAAGCUACGCUAAUACCGCAUACGAUCUGUGGAUGAAAGGGCGGGGGGACCGUAAGGCCUCGCGCGAUUGGAGCGGCCGAUGGCAGAUUUAGGUAGUUGGUGGGGUAAAGGCCUACCAAGCCGACGAUCUGUAGCUGGUCUGAGAGGACGACCAGCCACACUGGGGACUGAGACACGGCCCAGACUCCUACGGGAGGCAGCAGUGGGGAAUUUUGGACAAUGGGCGCAAGCCUGAUCCAGCCAUUUCCGCGUGCAGGAUGAAGGCCCUCGGGUUGGUAAACUGCUUUCGUACGGAACGAAAAGGCCUGAGUGAAUACCUCGGGCUGAUGACGGUACCGUAAGAAUAAGGCACCGGCUAACUACGUGCCAGCAGCCGCGGUAAUACGUAGGGUGCGAGCGUUAAUCGGAAUUACUGGGCGUAAAGCGUGCGCAGGCGGUGUUGUGCAAGGACAGAUGUUGAAAUCCCCCGGGCUUAAACCUGGGAACUGCAUUUGUGACUGCACGGGCUGGAGUGCGGCAGAGGGGGGAUGGAAUUCCGCGUGUAGCAGUGAAAUGGCCGUAGAUAUGCGGAGGAACACCGAUGGCGAAGGCAAUCCCCUGGGCCUGCACUGACGCUCAUGCACGAAAAGCGUGGGGAGCAAACAGGAUUAGAUACCCUGGUAGUCCACGCCCCUAAACGAUGUCAACUGGUUGUUGGUCCUUCACUGGAUCAGUAACGAAGCUAACGCCGUGAAGUUGACCGCCUGGGGAAGUACGGCCGCAAAGGUUGAAACUCAAAGGAAUUGACGGGGACCCGCACAAGCGGUGGAUGAUGUGGUUUAAUUCGAUGCAACGCGAAAAAACCUUACCUACCCUUGACAUGUCCUGGAAUUGCGCAGAGAUGUGCAAGUGCCCGAAAGGGAGCCAGAACACAGGUGCUGCAUGGGCUGUCGUCAGGCUCGUGUCGUGAGAUGUUGGGUUAAGUCCCGCAACGAGCGCAAACCCUUGUCAUUAGUUGCUACGAAAGGGCACUCUAAUGAGACUGCCGGUGACAAAACCGGAGGAAGGUGGGGAUGACGUCAAAGUCCUCAUGGCCCUUAUGGGUAGGGCUACACACGUCAUACAAUGGCUGGUACAGAGGGUUUGCCAACCCGCGAGGGGGGAGCUAACCCCAAUAAAACCAGUCGUAGUCCGGAUCGUAGUCUGCAACUCGACUGCGUGAAGUCGGAAUCGCUAGUAAUCGCGGAUCAGCAUGUCGCGGUGAAUACGUUCCCGGGUCUUGUACACACACCGCCCGUCACACCAUGGGAGCGGGUUCUGCCAGAAGUAGUUAGCCUAACCGCAAGGAGGGCGAUUACCACGGCAGGGUUUCGUGACUGGGGGU